rnacentral:rRNA from 1 species
GCAUAUCAAUAAGCGGAGGAAAAGAAACCAACAGGGAUUGCCCUAGUAACGGCGAGUGAAGCGGCAACAGCUCAAAUUUGAAAUCUGGCGCAAGCCCGAGUUGUAAUUUGUAGAGGAUGCUUCUGGGCAGCGACCGAUCUAAGUUCCUUGGAACAGGACGUCAUAGAGGGUGAGAAUCCCGUAUGUGACCGGCCCGCGCCCUUUACGUAGCUCCUUCGACGAGUCGAGUUGUUUGGGAAUGCAGCUCUAAAUGGGAGGUAAAUUUCUUCUAAAGCUAAAUACCGGCCAGAGACCGAUAGCGCACAAGUAGAGUGAUCGAAAGAUGAAAAGUACUUUGGAAAGAGAGUUAAAAAGCACGUGAAAUUGUUGAAAGGGAAGCGCCUGCAACCAGACUUCGCGGCAGUGUUCCGCCGGUCUUCUGACCGGUCCAUUCUCUGUCGCGAGGCCAUCAUCGUCUGGGCCCGCCGGAUAAGACCUUAGGAAUGUAGCUCACCUUCGGGGGAGUGUUAUAGCCUAGGGUGAUGCGGCGAGGCUCGGGCGAGGUCCGCGCUUCGGCAAGGAUGAUGGCGUAAUGGUUGUCGGCGGCCCGUCUUGAAACACGGACCAAGGAGUCUAACAUCUAUGCGAGUGUUCGGGUGUCAAACCCCUACGCGUAAUGAAAGUGAACGGAGGUGGGAACCGCAAGGUGCACCAUCGACCGAUCCUGAUGUCCUCGGAUGGAUUUGAGUAAGAGCAUAGCUGUUGGGACCCGAAAGAUGGUGAACUAUGCCUGAAUAGGGUGAAGCCAGAGGAAACUCUGGUGGAGGCUCGCAGCGGUUCUGACGUGCAAAUCGAUCGUCAAAUUUGGGUAUAGGGGCGAAAGACUAAUCGAACCAUCUAGUAGCUGGUUCCUGCCGAAG